rnacentral:lncRNA from 1 species
UAUAUAGCAAGAUCAGACCAACCAUGAUUAUCAUUCCAACAGUUUGAACCACCAUUUUGCAAACCAAGAAAGAUCUCUGAUUCACCAUUUCUACCACCCUGGUUUUGACCCAAAUCCGUAUUCACAACCGGGUCACAGUUCAAAUUCUCACCAAAUUCACCCAUUUCCACCAUUUUUAAACCCGACCCAUUUGAAUUCAGACCUUCAAAAAGGUUUCCAAAUCGCUCAGUUGAUGCAAGAAGUGAACUAAAACUCCCUCCACUGAAAUUUCUCUCAGCCGGGUCAACAUGAAUCUGGGUCGGGUCAGUUUCUGAAACUGAAGCCGAAACUUUUGCUGCUGAAGAACUGGUUGUUGAUGCUGAUGGAGAAGAAGAAGAUGGUGUUGUUGAACGUUUGGAAUUUGAUGAACGUUUUGUGACUUUUCUUGUUCCACCACCAACUGGUAUGUUCCUCAAAGCACCACCUUUUGUCCAAUAUCUUUUACAGUUUUUGCAAAAAUGGCGUGGUUGUGAGAGAUUGUAGUUGUUGUAGUAGCAGAAUUUUGUGUUGUUUGAUUCACAACGUGGACAUUUGAGUUGUUCUUGUUCUGGAAAAUUUGGUUUCAUGGGUUGAAAUGUUGUUUGGUCUUGCAUCUUUAUGUCACUAAAAGGUAACAACUUGAAAAGGAAAUUAGGGUUUUGAAGUUUUGUUUGAUAUUUCAAUAAAGUUCAAAGCUUUGAGCUUAGUAAGAUCCAAAAUGAACUUUUGGUGAAAAUGGGUUGUUAUUUAUGUUGGGUUUAGAAGAUGUG